UACGGGGGGGGCAAGCGUUGUUCGGAAUUACUGGGCGUAAAGGGCUCGUAGGUGGCCAACUAAGUCAGACGUGAAAUCCCUCGGCUUAACCGGGGAACUGCGUCUGAUACUGGAUGGCUUGAGUUUGGGAGAGGGAUGCGGAAUUCCAGGUGUAGCGGUGAAAUGCGUAGAUAUCUGGAGGAACACCGGUGGCGAAGGCGGCAUCCUGGACCAACACUGACGCUGAGUGAGCGAAAGCCAGGGGAGCAAAACGGGG
rnacentral:rRNA from 1 species